GUCGCACGAGAAGACUUUUUGCUUGCAUUGAGUUCGGACAGUGGCGUAAGGGAGAGUAACGCGUGGUUACGUGCCCUCGAGACCGGGAUAGUGUUGGGAAACUGGCAGUAAUACCGGAUAACAUCUUUGGAUCAAAUGGUGAGAUUCCGCUCGAGGAUCGGACCGCGUACUAUUAGCUUGUUGGCGGGGUAAUGGCCCACCAAGGCUUCGAUGGUUACCGGGUGUGAGAGCAUGGCCCGGCUCACUGGGACUGAGACACUGCCCAGACAUCUACGGAUGGCUGCAGUCGAGAAUCUUCGGCAAUGGACGCAAGUCUGACCGAGCGACGCCGCGUGCGGGAUGAAGGCCCUCGGGUUGUAAACCGCUGUCAGUUAGGAGGAAAUCUAUGGGGGUUCUCCCUCAUAGUUGACCGAUUUUCAGAGGAAGGACGGGCUAAGUUCGUGCCAGCAGCCGCGGUAAUACG
rnacentral:rRNA from 1 species